GCCGAUCAUUAGCUCAGUAUAGAGGAUCAAAAGUGGUCGUGCAGUUGAGCGAUCCUAAGUGAGUUGAAAAAGCCCACUAAAACCACUGGCAUCUCACUGGAAGCUUGAGCUCGCCCCAGCAAGAAUCGCCGUAAAUAUAAAGGAAACCAACCGCGCACAGCAAAAGAUCACACCGCGACACGUCAACCACGUGCUCAACUCAAGCGAUCCCCAUGACUACGGUCCAGGUAUAGCAUCAUCCAAAGCGAUUUGGUCGGCUAGUCAGGAUUCGCAGGCACAUUGAAAAUCAUCAGCGCAGGCAAAUCGAUCGAGGACCAUUAGGCGAGCACAGAAGGCCUUCAACAGAGGGCCUUUUAUUUGCAGGCCAAAACGUGAUCAAGAAUAGACUAGCGAUUCCAGGGGGAUUCUGGGCCACCAGAUCGAGCUCGAGGGACAUUCCGAGCGGGUCGGUUGACCGGUGAACGGGCGCGAGGCUUCGCGCUUAGAACGACUGGCAGGCGGCACUCUAGGGUAGUAGGGUGCAGGCAGCUGAUGCAGUAGUGAAGCGGUGCGAGACGGUGGUGCCUUCAGCGCCAGAGUAACCGGCACGGGCGUGCAUGGCGCGACAAUAGAUCGACAGCGGCGGUCGGAGUGCGGUAAACGUCGUGUCACGGGGCCCCCAUCGAUACUAUUAUUUAAGACCACUGUAGAUGUGAGAAUGGAGAGAUAAACUGUAUGUAUAGCUAACAAUAGAUAUAAGUCCACAAUGA